rnacentral:lncRNA from 1 species
UGAAGCCUAAAUAUACGAACACAAAAUCUUCAUUGGGCCAUAUGAAACAUGUCUCUUCAUUCAUAACUAAGUUAAAGUAGCAAUAAAGUAACUCUCCAAGAACAUUCUUGGCAACUUUCUCUGCAUAUUCAGAUAUGGUGUUACUGGGGUUUCUAGUGCCAGUUGGAUAUGAAACAUUAAUAAGCAAAAAACAAUUAUAAAUUAUCAAAUCUCCAAGUCCCAAACCUGCUCCAAUAAUUAUAGUUAAAUCUGCAUCACAUCAAAAGGUUUUCGAGUCUUAGUCAAUCGAUAUAACACCUCUAAGGCCAACUUAAACCACAAAACAAAAGAAUAAAUGAUGGCUUAUCUGACAUAAGUAUGUUCAAGAUAAUCUCUUACUAUUACCAGAUAAUCUUAACCCAUCAAUGCUCACAAUUUCAAUAUUCACAACCACACUAAUGAGUAUUUGGUUAACUACGUUACGCAUCCUAGUCUUUGAUAAAUCGUUAAAUGGCAGAAAAUCAAUUAAGGAGAAAACCGAAAAAUAAUAUACGGAAUGGCAAAAUGAUUCAAUUUUAACAUGAAGUUUUUGCACAAUUUAAAAUGCAAAAACCUGAAACAACAAACAUCAGAUACCAAAGUAGGAAGUCCAUUCAACCAUCCACUGAAUAUAAAUUCCAAACAAAAGCAAAAUCUUUCUUCUUCAAGCUAAAUCAAAACAAGGAUGAGCAAUGGAUUAAUGAAUCACGAAAAACAACAGGAAUCAACAACAAUUACAAAUUGAGUAGGAUGAAAUAAUACCUCGGAAGUGAAUAGUUAGAAUUGCGGAGAGACGACGAGCUGAAGUCAGAGUGGAGCAGCAUGCUGAAUCCGAAGGAGCAAGAGUGCUAAGAGGAACUGAAUCGAACUCGAGCUAGGGCUGGCCACAUCCAGCGUCUCUCUCUCUCUCUCUCUCAGAAAUCUCUCUUCUCUCUCCCAAGCCGCCGACCACCUCCAGCAAGACCGGCGGCGCUUCGCCAGCGGUUCUUCACCCCCACCAUCAUCUGCAUCUGUCGACUCUCCCUCUCAACAUCUCGCCCGACUCUCUCGGUCUCCAUCUCCUCUCUCGCCAUGAACAGCUGCAGCCGCAGCCGCUCUUCCACGGCUGCCGCGUCGCCGCCCCCUUCUCCAUCUCUUCGCCGACUCUUUCUCCAUCCCCAUCCCCCAAUUGGUCAAACCCCCAGAUAGAAACCCAAAAUCUCUCUCUCAAGACCCCAAUUAGAAAACUACCCUCUGCCUCUUCCUCUCACUCAUCCGCCUGCCGCCACCGUUUACCAUAGCAGCGGCUUCGAUAGGGUUUGGUGAUUGGAGAAGGAGCAGCGGAAUGGGAUUUGGGGGAAAGCAGACGGGAGAGAGAGCUAGUGAUUGGUGGUUUGGGGAAAUUAGAUUAGAUU